rnacentral:rRNA from 1 species
UUUAACUGAAGAGUUUGAUCAUGGCUCAGAUUGAACGCUGGCGGCAGGCUUAACACAUGCAAGUCGAGCGGGGGAAGGUAGCUUGCUACUGGACCUAGCGGCGGACGGGUGAGUAAUGCUUAGGAAUCUGCCUAUUAGUGGGGGACAACAUCUCGAAAGGGAUGCUAAUACCGCAUACGUCCUACGGGAGAAAGCAGGGGAUCUUCGGACCUUGCGCUAAUAGAUGAGCCUAAGUCGGAUUAGCUAGUUGGUGGGGUAAAGGCCUACCAAGGCGACGAUCUGUAGCGGGUCUGAGAGGAUGAUCCGCCACACUGGGACUGAGACACGGCCCAGACUCCUACGGGAGGCAGCAGUGGGGAAUAUUGGACAAUGGGGGGAACCCUGAUCCAGCCAUGCCGCGUGUGUGAAGAAGGCCUUAUGGUUGUAAAGCACUUUAAGCGAGGAGGAGGCUACUUUAGUUAAUACCUAGAGAUAGUGGACGUUACUCGCAGAAUAAGCACCGGCUAACUCUGUGCCAGCAGCCGCGGUAAUACAGAGGGUGCGAGCGUUAAUCGGAUUUACUGGGCGUAAAGCGUGCGUAGGCGGCUUAUUAAGUCGGAUGUGAAAUCCCCGAGCUUAACUUGGGAAUUGCAUUCGAUACUGGUGAGCUAGAGUAUGGGAGAGGAUGGUAGAAUUCCAGGUGUAGCGGUGAAAUGCGUAGAGAUCUGGAGGAAUACCGAUGGCGAAGGCAGCCAUCUGGCCUAAUACUGACGCUGAGGUACGAAAGCAUGGGGAGCAAACAGGAUUAGAUACCCUGGUAGUCCAUGCCGUAAACGAUGUCUACUAGCCGUUGGGGCCUUUGAGGCUUUAGUGGCGCAGCUAACGCGAUAAGUAGACCGCCUGGGGAGUACGGUCGCAAGACUAAAACUCAAAUGAAUUGACGGGGGCCCGCACAAGCGGUGGAGCAUGUGGUUUAAUUCGAUGCAACGCGAAGAACCUUACCUGGCCUUGACAUACUAGAAACUUUCCAGAGAUGGAUUGGUGCCUUCGGGAAUCUAGAUACAGGUGCUGCAUGGCUGUCGUCAGCUCGUGUCGUGAGAUGUUGGGUUAAGUCCCGCAACGAGCGCAACCCUUUUCCUUA